UAUCUCGCUGUGAUACCCACCCCCUCAUCAGUGGCCAUUGUUUGUAGCCCAAAAUGGGAGCUUCGCCCGUUUCCUUCGCACAAAAGCCACUCAAGCCAUCUGCUCCCAUUUUUCUGCCCUAGAGUGUCUGUUUCCUUCGCACAAAAGCCGUAUAGGUCGUUCCUUGUCGAUGCAGCACCACUCAAGGCAGACAAAGAGUAGCCAUUGAAGCAGCUCAGAGAUGGAGGCGCCGUAAUGUAGCCGAGGCCCAACUCAAGUAGCCCAUAGCAGCAACAGUCUAUCGCAGCAGCACCAGCACAUCCUGCCGUGAGUUUGGAAAAAUAGGAUCAUAGGUCAUUCAACUAGAUUUAUGCAAGUUGCUUUCCAUCGGUCUCUUCAUGAGCUGUACAAACGUAAGUGCCUUGC